GACGAACGCUGGCGGCGUGCUUAACACAUGCAAGUCGAGCGGUAAGGCCCUUUCGGGGGUACACGAGCGGCGAACGGGUGAGUAACACGUGGGUGACCUGCCCUCAGCUCUGGGAUAAGCCUGGGAAACCGGGUCUAAUACUGGAUAUGACUCCAUGACGCAUGUUGUGGGGUGAAAGCCUUGUGCGGCUGAGGAUGGGCCCGCGGCCUAUCAGCUUGUUGGUGGGGUGANGGCCUACCAAGGCGACGACGGGUAGCCGGCCUGAGAGGGCGACCGGCCACACUGGGACUGAGACACGGCCCAGACUCCUACGGGAGGCAGCAGUGGGGAAUCUUGCGCAAUGGGCGAAAGCCUGACGCAGCGACGCCGCGUGAGGGAUGAC
rnacentral:rRNA from 1 species